CAGAAUCCCAGGUUGGAAGGGACCUCAGGGAUCAUCUAGUCCAACCUUUCUAGGAAGAGCAGAGUCUAAACAAGAUGGCCCAGCACCCUGUCCAGACGACUCUUGAAGGUGUCCAACGUGGCCGAGUCAACCACUUCCCUGGGGAGAUUAUUCCAACGGUGACUGUCCUCGCUGUGAAAAAUUUCCCUCUGGUGUCCAGUCGGAAUCUCCCCAAGAGCAACUUGUGUCCAUCCCCCUUGUCUUCUCCAUGCGACUCCAAGUAAAAAGGGAGUCUCCAUCUUCUAUGUAGCUACCCCUUAAGUACUGCCUGGCCACAUGCUGUUUGUAGAGCGGGGACCAGAACUGGACACAGGACUCCAGGUGUGGCCUGACAAGCGCUGAGUAGAGCGGGAUGAUGACUUCUUUAUCUCUGCAGGUGAUGCCCUUUUGAUGCAACCCAGCAUCCUGUUGGCCUUCUUGGCCGCAGCAGCCACUGUUCGCUCAUGUUGAGCUUCCCGUCCACCAGGACCCCCAGGGCCCUUUCCACAGAGCUGCUCUCCAGCCAGGUUCUUGCUGGCCCACUCCUCCAGCCUAUCCAGAUCUCCCUGCAGAGCAGCUCUCCCUUCUGGAGUGUCUACUUCCCCACUCAACUUGGUGUCAUCAGCAAACUUCAUCAGGCUACACUUGAUGCCGGUACCCAGAUCACUUAUAAAGAUGCUGAAUAACAUUGGGGCCGGUAUCGAUCCCUGGGGGACUCCACUUGUGACAGGUUGCCAGUCUGAGAAAGAGCUAUUUACCACCAACCUUUAGUCUGCCAAUUCCCCACCCACUGCACAGACCACUUGUCUAGGCCAUAACGCAUCAAUUUCUCCAGGAGGAGGCUGUGGGGGACCGUAUCAAAGGCCUUGGAGAAGUCCAGGUAGACAAUGUCCACCGCCUGCCCCAUGUCAACCAGGCAAGUCACUUUGUCAUAGAAGGCCACCAGGUUAGUCAAGCACGAUCUGCCUUUAGUGAAGCCAUGUUGGCUUU